rnacentral:rRNA from 1 species
ACGGGAGGCAGCAGUGGGGAAUAUUGGGCAAUGGGCGAAAGCCUGACCCAGCAACGCCGCGUGAGGGAAGAAGGUUUUCGGAUUGUAAACCUCUAUCGUGGAGGACAAAGGACGUGAUGGUACUCCACAAGGAAGCCCCGGCUAACUACGUGCCAGCAGCCGCGGUAAUACGUAGGGGGCGAGCGUUGUCCGGAAUGACUGGGCGUAAAGGGCGUGUAGGCGGUCUGAUAAGUUAGGAGUGAAAGUCCUGCUUUUAAGGUGGGAAUUGCUUUUAAUACUGUCGGACUAGAGUGCGGAAGAGGUAAGUGGAAUUCCCAGUGUAGCGGUGAAAUGCGUAGAGAUUGGGAGGAACACCAGUGGCGAAGGCGACUUACUGGGCCGUAACUGACGCUGAGGCGCGAAAGCGUGGGGAGCGAACAGGAUUAGAUACCCUGGUA